rnacentral:lncRNA from 1 species
GAGGUUUUUAAUAUUUGAUGGUAAUUCCAUUUUAUCUCUUUCUUUUUUUUGCCCCUCAUAAAUUAGAUAAAUAGACCAUGUUUUGACCAAAAAGGGAAAGAAAAGAGAUAAAGAUCAUGCGAUGUCUUUUUGUUGAUAAUACAAACUUUCUCAAAGUAGCACAAGUACGAGUGCAUUCUACUCUGAACCACUUGAAGUUGCGGUGUGAUGUGAUCUCGACUUGACAUUAGUUUAAGUAUAAGCCAAGAAGCAUGCUUUGGACUACGAGGAUUCCACAUGCAUGUAAGCAAAGAAAAUAACUUCAACUCUUCUAACUGUAACAGGUUUACACUUUCUCACAGCCGUCAUUGCAACCAGUUCCACAUAAUUUCACUUGCCCUGCAGAUUCCAAACUAGACUUGAUCUCAACCAUCAAUUACCCAUCAAUAGGAGUCUCUGGAUUCAAGGGAAAUGAGAACAAGAGAGUGCAUAGGACAGUGAUUAACGUUAACAUUCAAGCCACGCCAGAGAAACUCCAGUUUACAAAAAGAUGGUGAGAAGUUGACAUACCAGGUGAUAGUCUCUUCUGCUGCUUCACUUAAGCAAGAUGUGUUUGGAGCUCUUACAUACUUGGUCUAAUGCCAAGUACAAGGUCAGAAGGCCAAUUGUAAUUAGUAGCGAGAGUAGUAGCAGCACGAACUGAGUAAUGGUAUAAAGUUAAGUAUGAUAAAUAUGGAAUAAUAAAGCUUAACCUAGAACAAAAUAUUGUUCAGUAUGUUACAUAAUAAUGUAAUCUUUCUGCAUUAUACAUCAUAUAAAUUCCA